rnacentral:rRNA from 1 species
UGGUAAUGCCGGAUGCUCCGACUCCUCGCAUGGGGUGUCGGGAAAGAUUUCAUCGGUAUGGGAUGGGGUCGCGUCCUAUCAGGUAGUCGGCGGGGUAACGGCCCACCGAGCCUACGACGGGUAGCCGGCCUGAGAGGGCGACCGGCCACAUUGGGACUGAGAUACGGCCCAGACUCCUACGGGAGGCAGCAGUGGGGAAUAUUGCACAAUGGGCGCAAGCCUGAUGCAGCGACGCCGCGUGCGGGAUGACGGCCUUCGGGUUGUAAACCGCUUUUGAUCGGGAGCAAGCCUUCGGGUGAGUGUACCUUUCGAAUAAGCACCGGCUAACUACGUGCCAGCAGCCGCGGUAAUACGUAGGGUGCAAGCGUUAUCCGGAAUUAUUGGGCGUAAAGGGCUCGUAGGCGGUUCGUCGCGUCCGGUGUGAAAGUCCAUCGCUUAACGGUGGAUCUGCGCCGGGUACGGGCGGGCUGGAGUGCGGUAGGGGAGA